rnacentral:misc_RNA from 1 species
GAUGAAGAACGUAGCGAAAUGCGAUAAGUAAUGCGAAUUGCAGAAUUCAGUGAAUCAUCGAAUCUUUGAACGCACAUUGCGCCCGCCAGUAUUCUGGCGGGCAUGCCUGUUCGAGCGUCAUUUCAACCCUCAAGCCCAGCUUGGUGUUGGGGAUCGGCACAGGCGCCCUCGGGCGCCCGCCGUCCCCUAAAUCUAGUGGCGGUCCCGCUGCAGCCUCCUCUGCGUAGUAGUUUUCUCCUCGCAAGGGCAGCUCGGUGGCGACCUCGCCGUAAAACCCCCAACUUCUGAAAGGUUGACCUCGAAUCAGGUAGGAAUACCCGCUGAACUUAAGCAUAUCAAUAAGCGGAGGA